GCACUGCUGACGGGUCCCAUAAUAGGACGAAACGGUCGUCCAGUGC
rfam:Schistosoma rodhaini strain Burundi genome assembly, scaffold: SROB_scaffold0000688